rnacentral:tRNA from 1 species
GCGUCUGUCCUGCACCUCACACCCAACUCGGUUUAAAUAGUUUCAGCUGGUGUACCUAGCCCUCCUUCCCGGC